GAGGAAGUCGAGCAACGUGUACUCGCAAGAUGUGAAAGCAGUAUUUGCACAGACAUGUCUACUUUUUGAUGAAACGGGAGCAACGUACUGAAUGUAGAGGACAGACACUAAAACUAAAUUAUCGAUCCUAUCACGUUUGUAUCGAUCCGAUGUCAAUACCACCCCUACUCAGUACAAACUUCAUUAACGAAGAAGCCCGAAUAUUAAAUCAGGUUUUGGAGCUGUUUUUUUGUCGAACACGAGUGAGACUGUGAACACACCUGCGGCGCAAAGGUGUCACCACAUCGUCCACAACAUCGUCCACAAUCGCCUCUCCUCGGAAUUGUCUGAGAUUAGAGACAUUGUUGAUGAUCACAGAGGCUUUGUCCAUAAUCUCAGAGACAUUGUCCUCAGUCAGAGAGAUGUAGUCCACGAUGGCAGAGUCUUCAUAUAAUGAAGAAGUUUUUUGAGACCACGACAGAGACCUCCAGGAGGAGAAGAUGACAGCAGCUGAAGACCUAAAGUGGAUGAAAGAAAACAAAGCAUUAAGAGGCUGUUAAAGGCUGGAUAAAAGACCUCCAGCAUUUAACUGUUGUAAGCAGUGUUUAGUUUCCUGUUGUUCAAGUGAAAAUACUUGGUUUUUCUCUACCGUCUGUAAUGUAGUCAUGGGCACAUUUUAUAAAGACUAAUAUGUCUUUAUUAAGCACCUGUGAGAACAUUCAGCUGCUUAUAAUACAACUAUCUAAUUAAGAAUUGUAUCACAAGCAGUUCAAUGAUCACAAAAAUGCUUAGUAGACAUGUUAAUCUUUGGAAAAUGUGCUCAUAAGUACUUGAACCCUAACCAGCAACAAGUAUUUCGUUAAAUGUUGUCUGGAAUAAAAUGAUUUCUCUAUUUUGAAACUGAUGUUAUACAAGUAUACAAUUUUUUUAGACCUAUUUUUUUAUGUUUUUAAUAUAUGCUAAAGGCUUUAUAUUUGUAUUUUAGACUUUUAUGGUUUUGUACUUUUUUUGUAACUUUGAUACUUACUUACCUUCUUAUAAUUAAUUUUUUACAGGUUUCAUUCUUGAUCUCUCACAUUUUCAUUCUUCUUAAAGGUUGAAUACUAAAGGUUUUAACCUUAUUUAUCAAACCUGUUUUCUAAGUUUUUUUUAGCCCUUUUUUAGACCUAUUCCUUUAAGGUUUGAAAUGUAUUUUUUUAAAGGG